CAAGAGUACGUGAAACUGCUUAGAGGUUAAACCCGAUGAACCUGAAUAUCCAUUAUGGAAAAUUCAUCACUAAUGAUAUAAUAUGUAAGAAAUAUUUUAAAAAUAGUGUGCAAUUUUUCCAUAUAAGGACAUUGUAAUCUGUUAAUGUGAUAAAUAUUUAUCAUAAGAUCCAUUACACUAAGUUUAUUCAAAUUGGUUAUUUUCGGAUAAUUAACAUAGAAUAAAUGUUUUGGAUUUGAUAAAUCAUUGACAGAUAUAAUUAUAUAAUGUGCUUAAAUUUUUCGGAAUUUUAUCAAUGGUAGAAAAUAUUUUAUUUUCUAUUUAAUUGAUAUGCACUAUUAUGAUUAACAAUGCGAGAGAUUCAGGAUACCUUCGGGACCCGUCUUGAAACACGGACCAAGGAGUCUAACAUAUGUGCAAGUCAUUGGGUAUUUUUAAUAAAACCCAAUGGCGUAAUUAACUUAACUGCUAAUUAAUGGGAUUAGUUUAUAUUUUGUUAUGAAUUAUUAAUUCAAUCCCGGGGCGUUCUAUAUAGUUAUGUAUAAUAAUAUUUAUAUUAUUUAUGCCUCUAACUUGAGCGUACCUUGAGCAUAUAUGCUGUGAC
rnacentral:rRNA from 1 species